rnacentral:rRNA from 1 species
AUUGAACGCUGGCGGCAGGCCUAACACAUGCAAGUCGAGCGGAUGAUGGGAGCUUGUUCCUGGAUUCAGCGGCGGACGGGUGAGUAAUGCCUAGGAAUCUGCCUGGUAGUGGGGGACAACGUUUCGAAAGGAACGCUAAUACCGCAUACGUCCUACGGGAGAAAGCAGGGGACCUUCGGGCCUUGCGCUAUCAGAUGAGCCUAGGUCGGAUUAGCUAGUAGGUGAGGUAAUGGCUCACCUAGGCGACGAUCCGUAACUGGUCUGAGAGGAUGAUCAGUCACACUGGAACUGAGACACGGUCCAGACUCCUACGGGAGGCAGCAGUGGGGAAUAUUGGACAAUGGGCGAAAGCCUGAUCCAGCCAUGCCGCGUGUGUGAAGAAGGUCUUCGGAUUGUAAAGCACUUUAAGUUGGGAGGAAGGGCAGUAAGUUAAUACCUUGCUGUUUUGACGUUACCGACAGAAUAAGCACCGGCUAACUCUGUGCCAGCCGCCGCCGUAACAC